GACGAACGCUGGCGGCGUGCUUAACACAUGCCAGUCGAACGGUAAGGCCCUUCGGGGUACACGAGUGGCGAACGGGUGAGUAACGCGUGAGUAACCUGCCCUUCACUCUGGGAUAACAGUUGGAAACGGCUGCUAAUACCGGAUAUUCAGCUCCUGUCGCAUGGUGGGGGUUGGAAAGUUUUGGUGGUGGAGGAUGGGCUCGCGUCCUAUCAGCUUGUUGGUGGGGUGAUGGCCUACCAAGGCGUCGACGGGUAGCCGGCCUGAGAGGGCGACCGGCCACAUUGGGACUGAGAUACGGCCCAAACUCCUACGGGAGGCAGCAGUGGGGAAUAUUGCACAAUGGGCGGAAGCCUGAUGCAGCAACGCCGCGUGCGGGAUGACGGCCUUCGGGUUGUAAACCGCUUUCAGCAGGGACGAAGCGCAAGUGACGGUACCUGCAGAAGAAGCACCGGCUAACUACGUG
rnacentral:rRNA from 1 species